UUGUGUGACUGUUACAGAAGCAAAUACAUCAUCUUCGUGGUCAGGGAGUGGUAAAGGGGUGGCGGAAGAUGCAGAAGCACUUUCUCGGGUCUCCCCUCUAACGGAUGGAAGAUGGUGCAAUCCAAAAUGCUGGCCUGGAAGCCCCGCCCCCAACUGGGCCCUAAGAUGUGGCGGGGCCUUCAAGGUUCCUUUCUUCCCCUGAAGGUACUGCCCGUUGGGACAGACCACUUGACUCUUGCACUCCUUGUUCUAAGGUUCCAGCCAUAAGAGGAAAAAGAGUGCGAAGGUUAGCUGAGACUGUUUACUGGAGCUCAGAAACGCUCCCCUUCUCUUGUUUAGAAUGGGAGCUGCCAUUCGAUUACAUGUCCCGUACCCGUCUCGGUGAUUGGCUGAGGAAUGGGUGAGGCUGUGAAGAAAUAGGCUGGCACUGUCUGUGGCCAUUUUCCCACCCUGGAGGGGAGAAUUAAAGUGAUACCAGGGAGAAGCAAAGAAGAGAUGGAGUGAGAGAGUCCUGUUGCCAUUCACUUCCCUGGUUCCAGUACUCUUGAGGCCAGCUGCACAACCAUCAUGCCAGGAUUUUGAAUUAUAUGAGC